GACGAACGCUGGCGGCGUGCUUAACACAUGCAAGUCGAACGGAAAGGCCCUGCUUUUGUGGGGUGCUCGAGUGGCGAACGGGUGAGUAACACGUGAGUAACCUGCCCUUGACUUUGGGAUAACUUCAGGAAACUGGGGCUAAUACCGGAUAGGAGCUCCUGCUGCAUGGUGGGGGUUGGAAAGUUUCGGCGGUUGGGGAUGGACUCGCGGCUUAUCAGCUUGUUGGUGGGGUAGUGGCGUACCAAGGCUUUGACGGGUAGCCGGCCUGAGAGGGUGACCGGGCACAUUGGGACUGAGGUACGGAGCAGACGGCUACGGUAGGCAGCGGUGGGGAGUAUUGCGGAGUGGGCGGAAGCCUGUGGCAGCAACGCCGCGUGCGGGAUGACGUCCUUCGGGUUGUAAACCGCUUUCGCCUGUGACGAAGCGUGAGUGACGGUAAUGGGUAAAGAAGCACCGGCUAACUACGUG
rnacentral:rRNA from 1 species